GCACAAUACACAACAUGUAGUGUAUUGUAGUAUGUAUGUAUACAUACUGUGACAAAACAAGACAAUUCUCCCUCCAACCUUACAAAGUUGGGUAUAAAAGACAAAACUGUUUUGUAGCAGCACAAGCUUGAUUUUUAAACUACAUCUGAAACCACCUAAGUUGUGUAUCCGCUUAAAGGGCUGCCGGUUCAAAUGUUAUAUUGCCUAGUGGAAACUUUGUCAUGGUAGCACUAAAAGGAAAAAUAUUAUAUGCUAAUAUAUAUAUUAUGUAUAUGCUAGAAUUGUGCCGUUUUCCAAAGAUAAGGCUUUGUUUUCCAAGACCUUUUCAUUUCUAGUGUCAAUAUUAAAUUGGCAUUUCCUUGUAGUUCUUUCUUGCAGUUAACAUUACUGUGGAAAAAGAGGGACACAGAAAUGGUUGUUGCACUACUCCCUUCACAGAUUAAGGGGCGCAGCAUCCUUAUCCACCAUAGUGAGCUAUGCUCACUUCGACCAUACCAGUGGUUGACAGGGGAGGUUAUUGAGGGCCUGUUUCAUGUUGCUGCCCACACAUUCAAUGUGGUGGACACCGUCUACAUUAUGAAUCACUACUCAGCAGGUGGGAUUUUGUUCAGUGACAGAACUGAACUACCUCGUCACAGUUUACCAAAGGUAAACUUUGACAACUAUGAAGCUGUUCUGUCAUUUGUGCUAGUCAACGGCAACCACUGGAACUUACUGUACAUUAAUGCAGAAACCAGCACAGUAUUUCUGAUGGAUCCAGCACGAUUGUCAUCAGAGCUUGAGGACUCUGAACAUGCUGCUAAAAGAAUACAGUAA
rnacentral:lncRNA from 1 species